CCACUCAUCCCUCUCGUACGUCUCUCUCUCUCUCUCUCUCUCUCUCUCUCUCGAUCUGGAGAACACCAGGACCCGCGGCCACCUCUCCUCCCGGCCUCUGCCUCGCCGGCCACGGCCUUGCUCGCCGUCCCCGACCCCAUCGCCCCCGCCGGCCCCCGGCCCCCGUCGCCUCGGCCGACCUCAGCGCGAGUCACCCGUCGCCCCCACCGGACGCUGGCCUCCGCUCCGUCCCCCCCACCGGCCGCUGGCCUCGGCUCCGUCCCCCGUCGCCCUUGCCUACUUCGGCCCCGGCCCCGUCCCCCGUCGCCCCCGCCUGCUUCGGCCCCGGCCCCAUCCCCCGUCGCCCCCGCCUACCACUGGCCGCGCGGGCAGCGAGCAUGGCGGACGUGCAGGCGACGAGCAUGGAACCUGUGGGUGGCGAGCAUGGCGCAUGGCGGCGGCUCACUCCACCGUCGACUGCUCAGCGCAGGCACGCGGCGGCCUCAUCCCUCGGGCGUGCGGCGGCCUUGUCCAUCGAGCGCGCGGAGGCCUCGUCCCUCGAGCAUGGCGCGUGACGGCCACUACAGAGGAGCUGCUCCCUCCAGCAUCGGCCGCCCGACGCUGAACUGGCGCCCGGCGGUGCCCCCCUCUCUCUCUCCAGGAACCAGAGAGCACGGACGGGCGGUUGUGCGGAUACCAGGGUCGGCCAAGCGGCGCGGGCGAGCGUGGUUGUCCGGUGGCGCGGCAGGUAGGGCCGGGCGAGCGGCGCGGUGAGCAGGUCGAGGCGGCGGCAGUGGUGUCCCUGUGGUAUUGUCCCUGGCGAGAAGGACGACCGACGGUGAAGAACCUGUUGCUGUGUUGAAGGACUUGAUUGCUUUUCAUUUUUAGUUUCUAGGGGUCCUUGUGUAAAUUUUGAGGACACUUCUGUAACUUCUCUGUAACCACCGACAAUGAAUGCAACACAGCUAGGCCGUGUCGAAUCCAAAAUCACCGUGAGCUAAAC
rnacentral:rRNA from 1 species